rnacentral:rRNA from 1 species
AUUGAACGCUGGCGGCAUGCUUUACACAUGCAGGUCGAGCGGCAGCGCGGGGGCAACCCUGGCGGCGAGCGGCGAACGGGUGAGGAAUACAUCGGAACGUGCCCCGGAGUGGGGGAUAACGCCGCGAAAGCGGCGCUAAUACCGCAUAUGCUCUGAGGAGGAAAGCGGGGGACCGCAAGGCCUCGCGCUCUGGGAGCGGCCGAUGUCCGAUUGGCUAGUUGGUGGGGUAAAGGCCUACCAAGGCGACGAUCGGUAGCUGGUCUGAGAGGAUGAUCAGCCACACUGGGACUGAGACACGGCCCAGACUCCUACGGGAGGCAGCAGUGGGGAAUUUUGGACAAUGGGGGCAACCCUGAUCCAGCCAUGCCGCGUGCGGGAAGAAGGCCUUCGGGUUGUAAACCGCUUUUAGUCGGGAAGAAAAGGCGCCGGAUAACACCCGGCGUUCUUGACGGUACCGGCGGAAUAAGCACCGGCUAACUACGUGCCAGCCGCCGCGGUAACAC